UACGAAGGGGGCUAGCGUUGCUCGGAAUCACUGGGCGUAAAGGGUGCGUAGGCGGGUCUUUAAGUCAGGGGUGAAAUCCUGGAGCUCAACUCCAGAACUGCCCUUGAUACUGAGGAUCUUGAGUUCGGGAGAGGUGAGUGGAACUGCGAGUGUAGAGGUGAAAUUCGUAGAUAUUCGCAAGAACACCAGUGGCGAAGGCGGCGACCUGGUCCAUGACUGAC
rnacentral:rRNA from 1 species